rnacentral:rRNA from 1 species
UGAGGAAUUUUCCACAAUGGGCGAAAGCCUGAUGGAGCAAUACCGCGUGAAGGAUGACGGUCUUCGGAUUGUAAACUUCUUUUAUAUGUGAAGAUUAUGACGGUAACAUAUGAAUAAGCAUCGGCUAACUACGUGCCAGCAGCCGCGGUAAUACGUAGGAUGCAAGCGUUAUCCGGAAUUAUUGGGCGUAAAGAGUGUGUAGGCGGCGUAUUAAGUCAAAUGUUAAAUCUCAGGGCUCAACUCUGGGGCUGCAUUUGAUACUGGUAUGCUCGAGGUUGUGAGAGGUAAGCGGAAUUAGCGGUGUAGCAGUGAAAUGCGUAGAUAUCGCUAGGAACACCAAUGGCGAAGGCAGCUUACUGGCACAAUCCUGACGCUGAGACACGAAAGCGUGGGGAGCGAACGGG